rnacentral:lncRNA from 1 species
CUGCUCUGUUGCUGAAGUGUGGAUCUUUCACAUAGUGGUGAGAAAUCAGUAGUUGAGUAGGGUAGCCAACUGGCAGCUACAUUUGCUGAGAGUAUUACUGUAGGGUUAUGGGGAAGGAGGAAAAGUGCCAAUGCAAACCUUCUACUUAAAUUUGAUCUCACAGCUGAGUUAACUUGAUUCAUAUCAAAGUAAGUCAGAAUUUUGUAUAUAUUGAGAAUUGCAACACAGAGAAAUACUUCCCCCAUUUCACAGUUUUGUUAUUUCUCUUACAGGGUUUCAGAAGGGAAACCAGCCAUUCCUGCACACUGGGCUUUGAAGGUGAGCUGCUUUGUAAAAGCUCCCUGCAGUGCUAUGUUGCUGAAGCCAACAGUUUGAAAAUUUACAGCAAGAGAAAACCACUCUGCAGAAAAUGUCCCUUUAGAGAUGGAAAUAAACCUCAUGUGGAGACAGUGGGAUAUAACCUGAAGACGGUAGGGAUAAAACUGUGAUUCUACCUUUAUUUCCAAUAGUGAUAUGAAAAAAAAAAAAGAAAAACAUAUCUGUACCUUGGAACUCUGAGCAUAUAAGUACACGGCGGAGC